rnacentral:tRNA from 1 species
ACCUGGCUGGCUCAGUCAGUAGAGCAUGUGACUCUUGAUCUCAGGGUCAUGAGUUUGGGCCCCACGCUGGGUG